rnacentral:rRNA from 1 species
UUGAACGCUGGCGGUAUGCUUAACACAUGCAAGUCGAACGGAAACGAUACUAGCUUGCUAGUAGGCGUCGAGUGGCGGACGGGUGAGUAACGCGUAGGAAUCUGCCUGAUAGUGGGGGAUAGCCCGAAGAAAUUCGGAUUAAUACCGCAUAAUCUAUUCGUAGUAAAGUGGGGGACUUUCGAGCCUCACGCUAUCAGAUGAGCCUGCGUAAGAUUAGCUUGUUGGUAGGGUAAAAGCCUACCAAGGCGACGAUCUUUAGCUGGUCUGAGAGGAUGAUCAGCCACAUCGGGACUGAGACACGGCCCGAACUCCUACGGGAGGCAGCAGUGGGGAAUAUUGGACAAUGGGGGCAACCCUGAUCCAGCAAUACCGCGUGUGUGAAGAAGGCCUGAGGGUUGUAAAGCACUUUCAAUUGUGAAGAAAAGUUAGCGGUUAAUAACCGUUAGCCUUGACGUUAACUUUAGAAGAAGCACCGGCUAACUCCGUGCCAGCAGCCGCGGUAAUACGGAGGGUGCAAGCGUUAAUCGGAAUUACUGGGCGUAAAGCGUGCGUAGGUGGUUUAUUAAGUCAGAUGUGAAAGCCCCGGGCUUAACCUGGGAACUGCAUUUGAAACUGGUCAACUAGAGUAUGGUAGAGGAAAGUGGAAUUUCUGGUGUAGCGGUGAAAUGCGUAGAUAUCAGAAAGGAACAUCAAUGGCGAAGGCAGCUUUCUGGACCAAUACUGACACUGAGGUACGAAAGCGUGGGUAGCAAACAGGAUUAGAUACCCUGGUAGUCCACGCCGUAAACGAUGAUAACUAGCCGUUGGGGGGAUUUACCCUUUAGUGGCGAAGCUAACGCGUUAAGUUAUCCGCCUGGGGAGUACGGCCGCAAGGUUAAAACUCAAAGGAAUUGACGGGGACCCGCACAAGCGGUGGAGCAUGUGGUUUAAUUCGAUGCAACGCGAAGAACCUUACCUGGUCUUGACAUCCUGCGAACUUUCUAGAAAUAGAUUGGUGCCUUCGGGAACGCAGUGACAGGUGCUGCAUGGCUGUCGUCAGCCCGUGUCGUGAGAUGUUGGGUUAAGUCCCGUAACGAGCGCAACCCCUAUCCUUAUUUGCCAGCACAUCAUGGUGGGAACUAUAAGGAGACUGCCGGUGAUAAACCGGAGGAAGGCGGGGACGACGUCAAGUCAUCAUGGCCCUUACGACCAGGGCUACACACGUGCUACAAUGGGAAGGACAAAGAGCCGCGAAGCCGCGAGGUGUAGCUAAUCUCAUAAACCUUUUCGUAGUCCGGAUUGGAGUCUGCAACUCGACUCCAUGAAGUCGGAAUCGCUAGUAAUCGUAGAUCAGAAUGCUACGGUGAAUACGUUCCCGGGUCUUGUACUCACCGC